GAACUGAAGAGUUUGAUCAUGGCUCAGAUUGAACGCUGGCGGCAGGCCUAACACAUGCAAGUCGAGCGGAUGAAGGGAGCUUGCUCCUGGAUUCAGCGGCGGACGGGUGAGUAAUGCCUAGGAAUCUGCCUGGUAGUGGGGGAUAACGUCCGGAAACGGGCGCUAAUACCGCAUACGUCCUGAGGGAGAAAGUGGGGGAUCUUCGGACCUCACGCUAUCAGAUGA
rnacentral:rRNA from 1 species